UACGUAGGCAGCAAGCGUUGUUCGGAAUUACUGGGCGUAAAGAGUGUGUAGGCGGUGCUCUAAGUUCGGUGUGAAAUCUCCCGCUCAACUGGGAGGGUGCGCCGGAAACUGGGGUGGCUGGAGCGCGGGAGAGGAAAGCGGAAUUCCUGGUGUAGCGGUGAAAUGCGUAGAUAUCAGGAGGAACACCGGCGGUGUAGACGGCUUUCUGGACCGUAGCUGACGCUGAGACACGAAAGCGUGGGUAGCAAACAGG
rnacentral:rRNA from 1 species